rnacentral:rRNA from 1 species
AUAUUAGAUUUGGCCUGCCCAAUGAUUUAUUUAAUGGCCGCGGUAUUUUGACCGUGCGAAGGUAGCAUAAUCAUUAGCUUAUUAAUUGUGAGAUGGUAUGAAUGGUUUGAUGAAAUAUUUACUGUCUCAUAUGUAUUUAUUUAAUUUAAUUUUUGAGUUAAAAAGCUUAAAUUUAUUUAUAGGACGAGAAGACCCUAUAGAUCUUUAUUUAAUUUAGUUGAAUAAUUUUUAGUUAUUUUUUUUAUUUAUUUGGGUUAUUUUUGGUUGGGGUGACAUUGAGAUUUAAUUAACUCUUAUUUUUUUUUUUCAUUUAUUUAUGUUUAAAUGAUAUUUUAUUAUUUUUUAAAGAUUAGAUACCUUAGGGAUAACAGCGUAAUUCUUAUUGAGAGUUCUUAUUGACAUAAGAGUUUGCGACCUCGAUGUUGAAUUAAGAUAAUUUUUAGGUGUAGUUGCUUAAUAUUU